UAGAUAAAUAGAUAUAGAUAUCUAGUGCUAGCUUUGGUAUCUGUUAUAUAUUUCUGAUAUAUUCAUAUCUUCUUCUUCUUUUUUUUUUGAAUUUUGGUGUGGAAAUAUAUUAUCCAGAGUGAAAAAUUGAUCGAUUCUGAUGCAUGAUUUAUUUCCAAACUAUCUGGCAACCAUAUCCUCCUAAAUCAAUCCUACGAACGAUUAAAAAUAGUAGAACUAACAUUUAGAACUAACAUUUUGGAAAACAAGAAGAUUUUCUUGUAACUUGUAGGAGGACAUUUCUGCACGUCACGUGAUACUAGCCUUAGUAUUAUAUAAAAAGCAGUGUGAUAAAUAUCGCGAAUAAUAUCAUAAUUCAUGAAAAUAUUGGAUAUCCGUACACGGCAAUAAUCCUUCUUAUUGACUGUCACCCAACAACGCAGUCACAUCAGACUUACCGGAGGUUGACGAUAGACCGUGCUUUUACUAUUCACACGAAAUGUCGCGGAGUUCCUCGAUAAUCUCUACAUUAACUGUUAUCUUUGCAGUUGUUUUGGUAACUGAGGGAAAUUGGUACGGCAAAAGAGGUGAUGAGAAAGAAAAUAUCUUCCUCAGAUAUCUAGAACAGUCACAAAUUCCAUCAAAACAGAAUGCAGAAAACAUAUUGAGUAUGCUAUUAUUAAAGAAAUUGGUGGGAACGAUAAAAUACCCCAAACUGGAAGACGACACGGACGCAAAGCCAAUGCAUUUCUAAAGUCUGAUGAGGAACGUGCAACCAUGCAGAUAGAACGAAUACGUCUGCUGCUUUAUCAUAUAUCUUAGCCAAGCAACUUUUUUGUUGCAGUGUGAGAAUUAUUUCAACUCAACAAGUUCAAUUCGUCUGUGCUAAGGGAUUUAUUAUACGAUCCGUCUUUGUUGCCCAGAGCACGAUAAAUAAACGUUUUCCACGCUUGAAUGAACAUACAAAGUGUUGGACAUAACUUGCUCAUUUUUCAUAUAUAUAUAUAUAUAUAUAUAUAUAUAUAUAUAUAUAGUGUAGGACGAUACUGUUUGUAUUUUUGAUUCAUUAAGUGUAGAUUUAUCCAUUUACACUAAGUUAGGAUUUUUUUCAUACCAUGUUUUAUUUGUAUAGUACAUAUACAUAUAUCUAAUCAUCGAUAAAAGUCUUAACCAUUCUUUCUAAAAUUAAGAAUCAACACUAAAACUGUUUGGGUCAUUCAGACACAGUGCAUUUCAUAUUGAUAAUGUCCUGUCUAACACAAAAUAGUUUUGAAUAUCGAUAUUGAAUUCGUUCAACAGUAUGUUAUUUACCUACAAACAUAUUAAUCAGGAGUCAUUAGCGUAAUGUAUUGAGACUGGGGACAUUUGCAGAUGUAUAGCACAGACUCAUUAAUCAAAAACAAAAACAACCAGGGACAGCGAAGCUGAUAUCUUAAUGCCCAUGGCUCAGAUGUCAGAACAAGGAGAGAAGAUGAUGCCAUCUGCAAAUUAAUCCGGUCCAUAUUAGCAUGCAACACAAGGUACAGAGUAGUUCCUUAACGUCGUGUCAUGUUGAAAAAAAGUUACGUAUCAUUAUAAAUUCUACAUUCAUUAAAAUCGAGGGUAUUUAUAAUUUUCUUUUUAAAGAUAUCUACAUGAUUAUCGUAGAUGAGAUUAUUGCCUAAUAUCGUACAUGUAUAUAUAACAGGGAUUAAGGUCAUAUAAUUUGUCACUGAAGACAGUAAUAAUUUGAAUAAAUGAAAAUAACUUCUCGAUGAUGAGCAAUUUUUUUUCUUUUUUCGCACUAACACAAAGCUUUAUGAUUAAUUGAUUAUUACUCAUAAGGACUAUAUAUAAUGAUGACCUAAUAUGGCCCCUCAAAAAGGUUUCUUUACUACUUUAGUACUUAUAUGACAAAAUCUUGAAUAUAUUUAUAUUAAAUCGUCAUUUACAGAAUGUAUUGAAUGUAGCAUUAAAAAUGAA